CACACGCUCCCUAGAGACCUUCCCUCUACCGCGUGCCCUCGUGGUUUGGAAUUCGCGCCAGAAGCCCAGGGAUCCGGCAGGGCGCGGGAAUUGGGAGCGACCGAGUCCCGCAGCAGAGAGCCGGCCGGGAGGGACGCGAGACUGAGGAUGCAGCCCCUGAUUUAAAUGCAUACCCGAGGCAAAGGCCAACAUAAAUUUUUACUUCGGCCCAGAAACGUGCUCCGUUUUCCAUGAAGACCAAGGGGACACGGGUUCGAGCCCUGUUCCGGGAAGAUCCCACAUGCCACAGUGCAACUAAGCCAGUGCGCCACAACUACUGAGCCUGUGCUCUAGAACCCGCGAGCCCCAACUACUGAGCCAGCACGCCUAGAGCUGGUGCUCCACAACAAGAGAAGCCACCGCAGUGAGAAGCCUGCACACCGCAACGAAGAGUAGCCCCCGCUCGCCGCAACUAGAGAAAACCCACACACAGCAACGAAGACC